CAGUGUGAUAGAUAGGAUAGAUACAACAGGUUCGAUACAGUAUGAUAGAUAGGUUCGAUACAGUGUGAUAGAUAGGUUAGAUACAGUAUGAUAGAUACAGUAUGAUAGAUAGGUUCGAUACAGUGUGAUAGAUAGGUUAGAUACAGUGUGAUAGAUACAGUGUGAUAGAUACAGUGUGAUAGAUACAGUGUGAUAGAUAGGUUCGAUACAGUGUGAUAGAUAGGAUAGAUACAGUAUGAUAGAUACAGUAUGAUAGAUAGGAUAGAUACAGUGUGAUAGAUAGGUUCGAUACAGUAUGAUAGAUGUGAUAGAUAGGAUAGAUACAGUAUGAUAGAUACAGUAUGAGAGAUAGGUUAGAUACAGUAUGAUAGAUAGGUUAGAUACAGUAUGAUACAUAGGUUCGAUACAGUGUGAUAGAUAGGAUAGAUACAGUAUGAUAGAUACAGUAUGAUAGAUAGG
ensembl:lncRNA